rnacentral:rRNA from 1 species
CCUACGGGAGGCAGCAGUGAGGAAUAUUGGUCAAUGGACGAGAGUCUGAACCAGCCAAGUAGCGUGAAGGAUGACUGCCCUAUGGGUUGUAAACUUCUUUUAUAUGGGAAUAAAAUGUUCCACGUGUGGGAUGUUGUAUGUACCAGAUGAAUAAGGAUCGGCUAACUCCGUGCCAGCAGCCGCGGUAAUACGGAGGAUCCGAGCGUUAUCCGGAUUUAUUGGGUUUAAAGGGAGCGUAGGUGGCUUGUUAAGUCAGUUGUGAAAGUUUGCGGCUCAACCGUAAAAUUGCAGUUGAAACUGGCAGUCUUGAGUACAGUAGAGGUGGGCGGAAUUCGUGGUGUAGCGGUGAAAUGCUUAGAUAUCACGAAGAACUCCGAUUGCGAAGGCAGCUCACUGGACUGCAACUGACACUGAGGCUCGAAAGUGUGGGUAUCAAACAGGAUUAGAUACCCUUGUAGUC